AUGCUGAAGACGUGCAUGGCUAUUGGAGAUGAACAAAGCUUGCGGCUUCCCAUGUAUGCUUGGCUCUAUAGAUCCAAAGGCAUGGCAUGGGAAAUUCCAAGACCAAAAAAGGGUUCCACUAUAAUCCUUGAAGCGGUGGCCGAUCAAGAGACUUGGAUUUGGCAUGCUUUCUUUGAAAUGCCUGGAUCUUUGAAUGACAUCAAUGGUGUCCACCGGUCACCACUGAUGAAUAAGAUUACAAAUGGUGAUUUGUCACCGGUGCAGUUUGUAGAAAAUGGUCGUACAUACAACUAUGCCUAUUAUCUUGCGAAUGGCAUCUACCCAAAGUGGCAAACAUUUGUGAAGCCGUUGAAAAAAUCAGAAGGUAAGAAAUAUCUUGAUUUCCACAAUGCUCAAGCGGCGGCUAGAAAAGAUGUGGAGAGAGCUUUUGGGAUUUUCCAAGCCCAAUUUGCUAUUGUGAGAGGACCGGCUAGAUUUUGGGGUCAAAAAAUGCUUUGGUACAUCAUGCACGCUUGUGUGAUCAUGCACAACAUGAUCAUCGAGAAAUGA
rnacentral:rRNA from 1 species